rnacentral:rRNA from 1 species
UUGAACGCUGGCGGAAUGCUUUACACAUGCAAGUCGAGCGGCAGCGCGGGGGCAAUCCUGGCGGUGAGCGGCGAAUGGGUGAGUAAUGUAUCGGAAUGUACUCAGUUGUGGGGGAUAAUUAUUUGAAAGGAUAGUUAAUAUUGUAUAUGUUCUGAGGGAGAAAGUGGGGGAUUGCAAGAUUUUGCGCGAUUGGAGCGGUUGAUAUCGGAUUAGCUAGUUGGUGAGGUAAAGGCUCACCAAGGCGACGAUCCGUAGCUGGUCUGAGAGGAUGACCAGCCACACUGGAACUGAGACACGGUCCAGACUCCUACGGGAGGCAGCAGUGGGGAAUUUUGGACAAUGGGGGCAACCCUGAUCUAGCCAUUCCGCGUGAGUGAAGAAGGCCUUCGGGUUGUAAAGCUCUUUCGGCAGGAACGAAACGGUGGCCCCUAAUACGGGUCGCUAAUGACGGUACCUGAAGAAGAAGCACCGGCUAACUACGU